rnacentral:sRNA from 1 species
GCCAGGCAUGGUGGUGCAUGCCUGUAAUCCCAGUGGCUCAGGAUGCUGAGUUUGGAGGAUUGUGAGUUCAAGGUCAGUCUCAGCAACUUAACAAGACCCUGUCUCUA